UGCGUAGGGUGCGAGCGUUGUCCGGAAUUACUGGGCGUAAAGAGCUCGUAGGCGGUCUGUCGCGUCGGAUGUGAAAACCCGGAACUCAACUCCGGGCCUGCAUUCGAUACGGGCAGCUUGAGUACUGCAGGGGAGACUGGAAUUCCUGGUGUAGCGGUGAAAUGCGCAGAUAUCAGGAGGAACACCGGUGGCGAAGGCGGGUCUCUGGGCCGUA
rnacentral:rRNA from 1 species